UCGAACGGUAACAUAAAGAAGCUUGCUUCUUUGAUGACGAGUGGCGGACGGGUGAGUAAUGCUUGGGAAUCUAGCUUAUGGAGGGGGAUAACUACGGGAAACUGUAGCUAAUACCGCGUAGUAUCGAGAGAUGAAAGUGUGGGACCUUCGGGCCACAUGCCAUAGGAUGAGCCCAAGUGGGAUUAGGUAGUUGGUGAGGUAAAGGCUCACCAAGCCGACGAUCUCUAGCUGGUCUGAGAGGAUGACCAGCCACACUGGGACUGAGACACGGCCCAGACUCCUACGGGAGGCAGCAGUGGGGAAUAUUGCGCAAUGGGGGCAACCCUGACGCAGCCAUGCCGCGUGAAUGAAGAAGGCCUUCGGGUUGUAAAGUUCUCUCGGUAGCGAGGAAGGCAUUUAGUUUAAUAAACUAGGUGAUUGACGUUAACUACAGAAGAAGCACCGGCUAACUCCGUGCCAGCAGCCGCGGUAAUACGGAGGGUGCGAGCGUUAAUCGGAAUAACUGGGCGUAAAGGGCACGCAGGCGGUGACUUAAGUGAGGUGUGAAAGCCCCGGGCUUAACCUGGGAAUUGCAUUUCAUACUGGGUCGCUAGAGUACUUUAGGGAGGGGUAGAAUUCCACGUGUAGCGGUGAAAUGCGUAGAGAUGUGGAGGAAUACCGAAGGCGAAGGCAGCCCCUUGGGAAUGUACUGACGCUCAUGUGC
rnacentral:rRNA from 1 species